AGAAUCAACGCUGGCGGCGUGCCUAACACAUGCAAGUCGAACGAGGAAGUGGAGCAAUCCAUGAGUAAAGUGGCGCACGGGUGAGUAACACGUGACUAACCUACCUUUUAGUGGGGGAUAACCUAGGGAAACCUGGGCUAAUACCGCAUAAUACUUACGAGUCAAAGCAGCAAUGCGCUGAAAGAGGGGGUCGCGGUCGAUUAGUUAGUUGGCAGGGUAAUGGCCUACCAAGACUGUGAUCGAUA
rnacentral:rRNA from 1 species